rnacentral:rRNA from 1 species
UCUAUCGGUAAGGACGUGAAAUACGAAAUAACAAGGGAGAGACUUUGAACUUGUUUAUCCUAACUGAAAAGGGUGAGUUGAAUAGUUAAUUGAAACAUCUUACUAGACUAUGAGGAAUACAUCAACUGAGAUUCCGUGCGUAGCGGCGAGCGAUAGCGGAUAAAUUGUCUUAAACAGAUAAUUAAGAUGAUUGGACAUCUAGACUAAACCCCGAUAGACACCUAUAGAGAAAGUACCGUGAGGGAAAGACUCAGAAUUGGUUCUAAAAGUUACCUUUUGCAUAAUGGGCCUGCAAGACAAAAUUUGGCAAGCUUAAAUAGUAAAUGAAGGCGUAGUGAUAGCAAGAAGACAAACUCGUUAGUCAAAUUUUCCCGAAACCAAGUGAUCUAACCAUGGCCAGGUAGCUAUGCUGACCGAACCAGUGAUUGUGGCAAAAAUCUUGGAUGAGCUGUGGUUAGCGGUGAAAUACUAGUCGAACUUGGAUAUAGCUGGUUCUCUACGAAACUUAUCUUAGUAAGGCGCCCCAAGUUGAUUCGCCCCCAAACCCCGGGGGCUUGAAUUACUGGUGUAGUAAGACUAUGGCGAUAAGGCCCCUAGUCAAGAGGGGGAAGCCCUAACCAGAAAUUAAAGUCACUAAUACAGAUUAAGUGUAUAAAGAGGGCUCAACUUAGACAAACAGGAAGUAGGCUUGGAAACAGCCAUCUGCACAGGAAAACGUAAAAGUUCACUGAAUGAGCUAGGGACCUCUAAUAAUUAGGGCGGCUAAAUCUGUAACUGAAAUUCUGGAAGCCAGACCGUAAGGAAGCAUUAACUGGCUUGGUAGUAGAGCGUUCUGUAGGCACGAUAUGUGCGCACCUCGUGAGAUAAACAGAAGUGAUAAUGCAGGCAUGAGUAGUACAAGAUUUACUCCCAAAUAAAUAUAUAUACAGCUUCUAAGGACAUUAUGCCCGAUGGAUUAUAAUUUUUAUACCUGUUCAGGAAAAAUAUUAUGGUACUUCGUACCUUCAACUGUUAUUUAUGGGAUUUAUAUCUAGGCAUAAUUUCUCUUAAGGAACUUGGCAAAAUAAGAUCUCGACUGUUUACCAAAAACAUAGCUCUCUGCUAAAGGCUACUGAAGUAUAGAGGGUGAAUUCUGCCCAAUGGUUGUACAGUGAAACUAAGUACUAACGUAUAAAGCGAAACCCAACUGAAUGGCCGCGGUAACUCUGACCGUGAUAAUGUAGCACAAUAAAUAGCCAAUUAAUUGUUGGCGGGUAUGAAUGGAACCACGAGGGUUUUACUGUCUCAAGAGGAAAGCCGAUGAAAUUAUAGUUGUAGUGAAGAUACUACAUAGACUUUGUAAGACGAAAAGACCCUAUCGAGCUUUACUGGAUACCGAUAGCGUUAACUUAAAAUGAUCGAUACUAAGUAUCCUAAUUUUAAGUUAAUAAUUUUUGUUGGUGGGACAGUUUAGUUGGGGCGACUACCUUUGAAUAAGAAACGAAGGCGAGCUUAUGGUAUACAAAGCUAAUCUCAUUAGCCUGACAGUGAGGGGGACACCCCUAGCUGGCACAAGGACUACGUCCUAUGUGGGCGAUAAUGACCCGAUAUGAUUGUCCAAAAUAAAUAUCGAAAGCGAAUAAAAGCUACCGUAGGGAUAACAGCGUAAUAUUGUCGGAGAGUUCUUAUCGAGGACAGUGUUUGCGACCUCGAUGUUGAAUUGCGGUGCCCUGGUGCUGUAGAAGGUACCUUAGGUUGGUCUGUUCGACCAUGAAAACCGUACAUGAUUUGAGUUCAGAGCGUGGUGACACAGCUCGGUUUCUAUCUACAAUGUUCAAUCCCAACUUUCCUGAGUCCUAGUACGCAAGGAAUGGUCUCAGCGAUGCUCGGCUAUAUUGGCCCCAUCGAUGUAAUUAACUUCUGGCUGCUGCAAAGAAGGGAAACAAAAGGUUUAGGGAUUAAUAAGAUCACCUUCUUAUAUGCCAUGUGGGUGCAUAGCCCCUGGCAUACUAUGGAAUUAACACUAGGGCUCAUCAUACUAAUAGUGUUGACGUAUGGAUUAAAGGCCCCUACUUUAAGAUUAGCUAUGCUACUUGCGGGGGCUGCUGGGCUAUUAGCUGUGCCCCACCUACUAUGUUGGACACAGGCUAUUAAGAUGUUGGUGAUGCUUAGUGGGUUAGCUAU